AAUUUGUAGAGGAUGUUUCGGGUACCGCCUCGGUCUAAAUUUCUUGGAACAGAAUGUCAAAGAGGGUGAGAAUCCCGUCUUGGACCGGCGGUAGGGCCCAUGUGAAACUCCUUCGACGAGUCGAGUUGUUUGGGAAUGCAGCUCAAAAUGGGUGGUAAAUUUCAUCUAAAGCUAAAUAUUGGCCAGAGACCGAUAGCGCACAAGUAGAGUGAUCGAAAGAUGAAAAGCACUUUGAAAAGAGAGUUAAACAGUAUGUGAAAUUGUUGAAAGGGAAGCGCUUGCAACCAGACUUGAGCGCGGCGGUUCCCCCUUCCUUUUGGUUGGGUUACUCCGCCGUGUCCAGGCCAACAUCGGUUCUGGGGGUCGGUUAAAGGCUCGAGGAAUGUAUCUACUCCUUCGGGGGUAGACUUAUAGCCUCGGGUGUCAUGCGACCUCCCGGGACCGAGGAACGCGCUUCGGCUCGGAUGUUGGCGUAAUGGUUGUCAGCGACCCGUCUUGAAACACGGACCAAGGAGUCUAACAUCUAUGCGAGUGUUUGGGUGUCAAACCCGGAACGCGGAAUGAAAGUGAACGGAGGUAGGAAGCCGCAAGGCUGCACUAUCGACCGAUCCUGAUGUCUUCGGAUGGAUUUGAGUAAGAGCAUAGCUGUUGGGACCCGAAAGAUGGUGAAC
rnacentral:rRNA from 1 species